UUUUUAUCUACAAUGAUCUUUAAUUAGCCUCUGCCUAUUUUCCAAAAAUGCUAGAGACAUUAUAUGUACGCCAUUACAGAAGUAUUAUGAGGCCUAUGUAUUCUGCUGUUUACUAUUGCAUUAAUCUGCACAAAGUUUAUGCAUUUUUUAAAAAUGUGUUUGUCACUUCUUUCUAAGUCAGGCUUUCUCGUGAGCUAACAUUUCCUCAAUGGUUUCUGUCUCCUCCCUCCCUCCCUCCCUCCUUUUCGUCUUUUUUCCCUUCUCUUUCUCUUUCUUUUUCAGAAACCACCUUAUCAGUUUCUAAGCAUUUUGAAUUCCUAAGAUGUGAACUGCUGAGUGGUCUGCCAUUUGGCCCUAAAACAGCUCUGGGCUCUCAUGGCCUGCUUUUAUCUGUCCCAUAUGAUUGUAUUUCAUCAGAACUUCAUGCAUUUGGACAGUAAUAAACAACACGGAGUCUAAAAAAAAAAAAAAAGACAAUAAAAUGGGACAAAUGAUUAAUUAAAGGAUUGUUCUACAUAGGCCACCUAGUUAUCUGCCCCAGGCAUGUCCAAAUAUCCAACUAAGGCUUCUGAAUGUCUUCAUAUCAGGUUCCAAGCUCUCAUCAUAUCACUCCUACCCCCUACCUAGUUGCCUUCCUCUCCUUUCCCCAACUCAUCACCCUGGAGAAUUUCUAGUUCCUUCAUCCCUCUAGAGGUGACCCCUUGGGGACUCCGCGUACUCUCAUACUACCCAGAAUACAAGCAUGUGUGGAGACCAUCUCUGCAUGGAGACUGUCCAAUCUGCCACGUAACGCCCCUCCCCAGCAUACCGCAUUCAAUGUAACUCUGCCCUUUCCUCCAUCACAUCCAUGCAUGAGUCCCCUUCACCAAGGAUCUCUCUGACCAAAUUCUUUCCUCCCCACCCUGCUCACAGCUCUAGAUGGAUUCUGAUUUGUUCCGGGUGUUGUUCUGCCCCCCAGCCACAAGCACAAUUUCUUUCCUCCAGUGGACUUCAUCCCAUCCUUGGUCAUGGACAGAAAUGGGGGCAGAGCUGGAAAAUAAAGAGCUCUUGGGGAUGCGUUGAGGGGAGGGAAGCCCCAGAGCCUGAGCUCUGAGUGACCAGGUCUGGAGGAGGUGGCUGACACUGAAGGAGGCCACAGGCCAUGUUCCUAAAGACAACACUGGGUUCUCUCCGCCGGGUCAGGGGCUGCCGGGAUUUGCAGAGGGCAGUUUCAGUUUUCACAGUGCUCCAGGAAUACAAGUCCCAUCAACAGUUUCCAAAUAGCCGCCCUCUCCCAGAGCAACAUGAGACAACCGUGGGCCUGGGAGGACUUGUCCAGCACUGGGCUGGGCAGGGGUCUGCUGGAGUGAAGGGCACAGUAAAGGUUGGGGGCUGAGGGCAGGUUGAGAAGGAAGCCUCCUCAGGGGACUGGUCCACCCUCCACAGCUCUGCGGUCAUUCCAGGGGGAAGCCCAGACCCUGGGCUUAUCAGAGCUGGAAGGGAAGUUAGGGACUGCCUGUCUUGUCAGUGGUUCCUGGACCCAGGUCACAUGAAGGCUGGGAUGUGGGUUUCUCAAGUAAUUUGCUCUAAUUCAAUGGGUUCUGAAUAUUUCCCUGACCUGAGACUGUGAUCAAGUAGCUCAGCCAUAAAGAGCCUCUGCUUAUUUCUGGAAUUCUACCAACCCUGGUUGGCACACUUGCUAUCUGCGGUAGAUCUGAGUCUGCUCCAUAGGUCUUCUAUUAACAAGAAAUGGGGAAACAAAUUAAUCAUUACUUACAUGUGGUCUACUCAGUCAGCCACAUUUCCCAAAGCAUGUUCUCCAUGGCAGUGGUGGGUGUGGGGAUAGAUAACAGAAGGCGAGGUUGGUGGGUAAAGGCAGGGAACUGCCUUUCAACCCUGCAGAGGAUCCAACUGAGGUUCAGAAAGGAAAAGGCUUUGCAAGGUUGCACAGCAAGCUGUGAAUGGAUGUCAAAUCUGAACACAUGUCCCUGACUCCUCGACCAGGCCACCUACCCUUCUCACCUUCGGAUGGACUGCUGAGACCCCCACACAUGAGAUUUACUCUCUAUUGCUCAGGAGGACCAGUCUUUCAAACAAACUUCUUGCUUUCUCUUUUCAGAUCUUUUUUUUCCCCCUCAAGAUUUUAUUCUUUUGUGAUAUCUUUAAUCUCUUUUUAAUCCCUUUAAACAUAUCUUUAAUAUUUUCAUUCAUUUGUUUUUUGGUUGUGCUGGGUCUUGGUUGCUGCAUGUGGGCUACUCUUUGUUGUGGUAUACUGGCUUCUCAUGCUGUGAGCACAGGCUCUAGGCAUGCAGGCUCAGUAGUUCCUGUUGCAUGGGCUUAGUUGCCCCUCAACAUGUGGGAUCUUCCUGAACCAGAGGUUGAACCCAUGUCCCCUGCACUGACAGGCAGACUCUUGUCCACUGCACCUCCAAGGAAGCCCCAUCUCUUCAGAUCUUUGACUAAUCUGUUUGUUCAAGUGGAAGUGCCAAGAGAGUCCACACUCUAUGAUUCCAAAGUACGAAAUCAGACAAAACUGAUCUCUGCUGUCACCAGCCAGGACGCUGGUUAUCCUUGAGGGAGGUGGUCACUGGGAGGGGAACAGGCAUUCUAGGGUGCUGGUCACAUUCUGUCUUUUGAUCUAGAUUCUGGUUACAUGGGUGCAUUCAGUCAGUGAAAACGCAUCAGGCUGUACACUAAUGCCUUGCAUCUUAAUACAUGCUGGUAAUAUAUCAAUUACGAAAUUUAAAAGGUAUGAGAUCAGUAAGUAUUUGUCAUUGACUGAUGAAAGAAAGCACAUUGGGGCUGUUUCUAAGCACUUUUAAAUAUUGUGCUUAGAAACACAAAGCUACACGCCCUCAGCAGUCCACAGCCCUGCGGAGACUCUCCCUGCUCCCAUGGCUCAACCAGGUGGCUUAAGGCCCCAGCAGGGGCAGGUGGAAAAGUUUCUGCAUCUUGUAACUAUCAAGCUUCAUCAUGUAACCAAGAACCUCUAGCCUAGUUCCUGCUGGGCCUUCAGGGAUUAGUGCCAGAGUCCUCAGUAAGGACCCAGAGGAGAGCGUCCAGCCUGGUGACACAGAGGGAGAAGGAAGCGAAGGAAGGCCGGGGAUGGCAGACGUUCAACGCUCUCUGGAGGAGAGGCCAACUGGAGCCCAGAGCCUGGCGCAAUUCUGGGCUGUGGGUUGACUCAGCAAACUUGCACGUGUCCACAAGGCGCAUGCACAGUAAGCAGCGAAUGAGGACUGCAGGGUUACCGACAACGGAAAGCAGAUGGAAGCCACACGCACGCACAGCAAGAGCGUCUGUGCGGUUGUGGGAGAGGAUGUCACGUGGAAGAUGUUCAAGAUACUUUAAGUGAAAGAAAAAAAAACUCUUAUGAUAAGAACUUGAUUUUGCUUUUGAAAAAGUUACUCAUAACCCUCCUCUUUACAUAUGAGUGGAGAUAGGCUAAAAUGUUAAUGGUAGUUACCUGCUUGGUGGCUUUCUUAGUCUUGUGUUUUCUGUUUAAAAAAUAUUUUCCUAUGAUAAACAUGUAUUACUUAUUUAAAAGAAUAAGGAUAAACAUUAAUUGUCAUUAAAUAGUGAGAGAAAAAUUCUAUUUUGCCAAUUUUCUGAUUAUUCAUGGGAGAAUCCAGGGAAUGCAGGGGCAGCAGAAGGUAACAUCAAAGGGUGAACUAAUGACUCAAAAGCGAUUCACCUUUUACUUUCAACAAGAGGGCAGAGUGAAGGGUGGGGGUGGGAGAUAAAGGCAUUGGAUCUGAUUCUCAGUGUUCACCAGCUGAAGGAGCUAGGCGGUUCCACAUUGCCAGUGGACAGAAGGUCUAGCCCUUCAGCCACUGGAAAGAACGACAGUUCAUGGUUUCAUCCCUUCGUUCAUUCAUUCACUUUUUGGGUGAGCACCUGCUGUGUGUUAGGUCCAGAGGGCAGUUCUAGAAUUUAUCUGAGACACAAUCCUUGGCCUCUCAAAGCUAGGAGCUGAUUUAUUCAAUAUAAUAAGGCUAUCUGCCCAUAUUGAAAUUGCCUGCCUGGUAGAGUUAAACAUUUAUUUACAUAUUUAUUUUGGCUGCAUUGGGUCUUGUUUGUGGCCUGUGGGCUUUCUCCAGCUGAGGUGCACAGGCUUAGUUGCCUCAAGACAUGUGUGAUAUUAGUUCUCUGACCAGGGAUCAAACUCACGUUCCCUGCAUUGGAAGGCAGAUUCUUAACCGCUGGGCCACCAGGGAAGUCCCCAGAGUGAAUAAAGAAGUAUCGAAAGCUUCCUAUGUGUCAGGUGCUAAGUGCUCUAGGUAGAUAAUCCCACUGACACCUCUCCCCCACAAGGUAGUUACUGGUGUUGUUACUCCCUUUUAUAGAUCGUGAAAGUGAGCCCUCAGCAGUUAACAAGUUGCCCGUUGGAACUGGUGGAACUUCUACUUCAGGAGAAACGUCAUCCCAGCUCACAGAGUUAACCUGCCUUAUCGAAAGAGCACGGAACAGCAGUCUUGGUCGGCACAGCCGUGAGGCGAGUGGUCGCCUUGGGGAUGCUGAGUGAGCAUCUGCUCUGGGCCAGGCACUGCGCUGGGGACGCCAUGGGGGCUCAGGCAGGACUUGCCUUCAAAGAGUGUCCAGAACUGAAGCAGAAGCACGGACAAAUCUGGUCCCCAUGCCACAGAAGAGGAAACGAAACCUCUGAGAGCGCGAGAGGCAUUUCUGAGUUUUGCACACAACAAGGCACGCAUUGACAGAAGCAGGUCCGCCUUCUUGCUUCUCUUCACAUUCCAGUCUGUGACUCUGCACAGAUUCUUGAAUUAGUGCAGUAUUCAUACAAGUUGAAUAAAGCAGUUGAGGAAUCUUUUGUAGGACUAAUUCUUAAAACUCUUAUUUGUAUAUUCGUAGAUCAGGCGUAAUGUGGAGGGAGCGUGAUACCAUCUCUUUACAUUGUUCUACCCCGAAGCAAUUCUCAAAAUGUGGCCCAAAGACAAGAAUUCUCUGAUGGGCCGGUGGUUAGGUUAGGACUCCGUGCUCUCACUGCCGAGGGUCUGGGUUCAAUGCCUGCUCAGGGAAUUGAGAUCCCACAAAACUUAGACAUCAUUUCCUCUUCUCAUGUUAAUUCUCUUGUGAGUGUACAGUGUUUCUCA
ensembl:lncRNA